ACCCAGCUGACGAGUCCUAAAUAGGACGAAACGCGCGUUCUGGAU
rnacentral:hammerhead_ribozyme from 1 species